rnacentral:misc_RNA from 1 species
GUCAAGUUAGUGUCAACUUUUUUGCAGGCUGGUUCAGUUCAUUGCACUGAUAAUAAACAACACUCGAGCCUCAAAAUUUUAUUUCUUCUGGAUUCACCAUUCAAUUUUUAGAACUGGGUGGAUUGGGUUAAAGGCGAAAGGUUGAACCUCUGAAAUUGGCUAGAGAUUUGACGCCAAAGUCUAACUGAAUCCCUCUGAAAAGGGAGAUUUUUGCAAGUAUGGAUCUCCGAGAAGAUAGCUCUCGAUUUGGUGGGUUACCAGUAACAACUUCAAGGAAUAUGUCAUCAUCGUCCUCAGCAUUCUUUUCAGCAAAUCAGUCUCCUUUCUUCUCUCCAAGAUCACCAAACUGUCAAAUAUCUGAAUCAACAAGGUUGGAAGCUCUAUGUGACAGUACUCAUUUAAGUGGCAAUUCCCUUAACUCCAGGUCAGGAAAUCUAGUACCAGCAUCUCUAGCAAAUGUCCAAGAUGUCUUAUCAGACAUUUCAAGGGAUCCAGUUGCUGAUAUUGGAACUGAUUUCCAGAAUUUUGAUCGAAUAUUUUCCUCAACUGGCAUUUCUAACAGCUCACCUUAUGGUUACAGCUACGCCCAUGACAAUGGUUAUUCUGGGUUCAGGGAGAAGCGCAGAAAGCAUGUGCGAAGCCAUGAAACGUCAUGUACUCCAGUGUCAGUAUCACUUUCCUCAAACAGACUGAGCUGUGACAUCUUCAUAGGUAUGCAUGGUCGCAAACCUUCAAUGCUGAGGUUUGCUAAUUGGCUCCGUGCUGAAUUGGAGGUUCAGGGGAUGAGUUGUUUUGUAUCUGACAGAGCUCGAUGUAGGAACUCGUGGAAACAUGAAAUUGUCCAGAGGGCAAUGGAUGCUUCUUCUUUUGGCAUUGUAGUACUGACAAAGAAGUCCUUUAGGAACCCAUAUACCAUUGAGGAACUGAGGUUUUUGGCAAGCAAGAAGAAUUUGGUGCCUAUAUUCUUUGAUUUGACUCUUGAUGAUUGCCUGGUCAGGGACAUAGUUGAAAAGAGGGGAGAGUUGUGGGAAAAACAUGGAGGUGAGUUAUGGCUUUUGUAUGGUGGAUCGGAGAAGGAGUGGAAGGAAGCUGUUAAUGGUCUUUCUCAGGUUGAUGAGUGGAAACUGGAAGCUCAGGAGGGUAACUGGAGAGAUUGCAUACUAAGGGCUGUCACGCUUCUGGCAAUGAAAUUGGGGAGGAGAAGUGUUGUAGAACGGCUGACUAAGUGGAGAGAGAAGGUGGAUAAAGAAGAAUUCCCUUUCCCUCGAAAUGAGAACUUCAUUGGAAGGAAGAAAGAAUUGUCUGAACUGGAGUUUAUACUUUUUGGUGAUGUUAGUGGAGAAUCAGAAAGAGAUUAUUUUGAACUAAAGGCAAGACCCAGGAGAAAGAAUUUAACAGUUGGAUGGAGUAAGAGCAGUUUAAUGGAGGAAAAACGAAAGGAGCAACACUUGGGGAAUGGAGCCAAGAAAGGUAAAGAACCAGUUGUAUGGAAGGAAUCUGAAAAGGAGAUUGAGAUGCAAAGCACAGAAAUUUCUCAAAGGCAGCGCCCAGUGAGGCCAAAAAGUGGUGGACG